UAUUUUUAUAUCUAUAUCUAUAUAAAUUUUAAUGUGAAUACUAUUUAUUUACAUAAAGAAAGGUUUUCAAACCAUUAGUUUAAUAUAGAUUAAAGCUUGGCUCUGACUUUAAACAUAAUAAAGAACUAAAAAAUACACAUGGUUUUUAUAGAAAGAGGCGAGGAGAAGAAAUAUUACUGUUGAAUUAAAAAAAUUAACGGCUGGUUUUUCUUCAAGAUAUUAUAGGACUAGAUGAUAUUUUGAAACGCCCCGCUAACACCAGUGCUGAAGAUUAAAAAAAGAGUGUAAACUUGGGUUAAUUUAGUUCAAAAAUCUGGUUAACUUGGUGCCAGCAUCCGCGGUUAAACCAAGAAGAUUAAGUUAUGUAUUUUCGGUAAAAAGAUAGUUAAGCAUUAAAAUAAUAAGUUUUCUUAAUUAUUAUUAGGAAGUAAAAUUCGAAGAUAAUAUAGAAAUUUAGUUAAAACUAAAAAGCUGAAGCUAUGACACCCUUGAGGGAAACUGGGAUUAGAUACCCCACUAUUCUUGGAUAUAAAAAAUAUAUGUAUUACCAGAGUACUAUGGAUUGAUUACAUUUAAAACUCAAAGAGCUUGGCGGUGUUUUAGACUCUUUAGGGGAACCUGUCUCAUAAUCGACAAUCCACGUAAAACCUGACCUUUAUUUGCUUUCAGUUUGUAUACCGUCGUCGUCAGGUAACUUUUUAGAAGAAAGAAGUUAGCAACUGAGCUUUUAUAAGCUCUUACGUCAGAUCAAGGUGCAGCUUAUAUAAAGGAGAGGAUGGGUUACAAUUAUAAAGAUUAUAAUUACGGAAUAACAAUUUUAAAUAAUAGCUUAUAAAGGAGGACUUAAAAGUAAAAUAAAAUAGAUAAAUAUAUUGAAUUGAGCUCUGAAACGUGCACACAUCGCCCGUCGCUCUCGUUGAAAAACGAGAUAAGUCGUAACAUAGCAGGGGUAAUGGAAAUUGUCCCUAAACU
rnacentral:ncRNA from 1 species